AAUAAGCCUGUACUCUGCAUGGCAUCAACUAAGCUUUUAAAGAUUAUGGAUGAGCAAGGGUUUGAGAAAAAAGUUUGAAAAAUCAAAACCAAAGCUUUAUAGCCACUUCAGAAAGCCUGGAUGUUUAACCUGUAAGGAAGUCUGUCAAAUCCUUGAGGAAACCACAUAGAGAAAGAUCAAUAGAAUACCUACUGGCUCCAUUAGCUUGAUGUAAAAGGGGGAAGAGGGAAACCAGCUCUUCCACAAGAGGAGAUACAUUAUUCCAGGGAUUAAGCGGGAUCAGUUCUCUUGCAGAAAAGAAGACAAGAAAAAGAAUGAAGAUUCUUGGUGGGCCAGAACUGGAGUGAAAGGGCUUGUCAGGUCUCUGGAUUAGCUUUGAAUGCGAGGAAGGGAGAGGGAGGUAUUUCUACUGCUGCUUCUGGGACCAGCGUCAGCACUUCUGUCACCACCACCGCCAUGAAUGCAGCCAUGCCUGCCUUGCAAUUUCUGGAAAACCCAGCUAAUCUGGGUUGCUUGUCUCUCUGAGAGCAUCUGGCACCUGGAGUGAAUCGCCCAUUGCUGUGGCCCGGGUACCGGCUGGCUCGGGCUGGGAACCGAC